UGGGGAAUUUUGCGCAAUGGACGAAAGUCUGACGCAGCAACGCCGCGUGGGUGAUGAAGGUCUUCGGACUGUAAAACCCUGUCGUCAGGGACGAAGGUUGGGGGGUUAAUAACCCUUUAGCUUGACGGUACCUGGAGAGGAAGCCCCGGCUAACUCUGUGCCAGCAGCCGCGGUAAUACAGAGGGGGCAAGCGUUAUUCGGAAUUAUUGGGCGUAAAGGGCGCGUAGGCGGUUUUUUAAGUCAGAUGUGUAAUCCCCGAGCUCAACUUGGGAACUGCAUCUGAGACUGGAAGGCUAGAGUACUGGAGAGGGUGGUGGAAUUCCUCGUGUAGCGGUGAAAUGCGUAGAGAUGAGGAGGAACACCAGUGGCGAAGGCGGCCACCUGGACAGUAACUGACGCUGAGGCGCGAAAGUGUGGGUAGCAAACAGG
rnacentral:rRNA from 1 species